UUGGCACUAACGAGGGCUUUAUUCAAUUGAAAUUCUAUAUGUACCAUAUAUACAAACCGAAAAAAAUUCAAUAAAAUGCAAUACUUAAACACAUUUUUACCAAUUUCAACUCCAUAAACUCCUAAUUUUCCUCUGUAAUUUGCUCCAACAAUCAGUUAAUAACAACAGCAUUUUUCAAAUAUACCCACAAGGAAAUAACAAUAAUAAUAAUAAGCAUCUCGAAUUUUGGAAAUUCCAGAAAAGAAAAAAAAUAAUUAAAACUCACCAUAAAUUAAGAAAAAAAAGAGUGACAAACUCCCAAUUGUUUUCCCGUAAGAACUCCCAAUCAUUUCUGCACUUGAACCCAGCUUUAUACGCUUCUUGGGAUUGACUUGAGUUCCUUGAUCGCUGAUAUUCACAGGGGCUCCCACCAUGAUCCUAUGCCUCUUAGUCUUCCAUACCAUGAUCUUGUACCUCACCGAAGUCUCCAUAUCCACCUGGAAAAUCGCUGACCCAUUAGAAAUCGCCCGCAAAACCGCUGCCAAGUCAAGUCCACUGGCGUUAAAAUCACCGCCCUUCGUUGCCUUCUUCUUAUGCCCUUGAUAAAACUUUGGGAUGGUGAAAUUCCCUAUAGAAUGAUUCCGGUUUGGGUUGUCAAAAAAUGUUACGUUUACUGGAUCGUAGUAGACUCCCUUGUCUUUGUUGGUGUUCUCCAGUCUGAGCUCAAAGAAAAGAGUGGUGUUUCCUGGAGGAUUUAGGGUCUUGUCAAGUGCUGGAAUGUAAAUUCGUUGGAGUAAACAUUUGGGGCUCGAGGUACGCAGGCUUAGCCACAUGAACAGAGCUGUUAGGCCUAGAGUGAAUAUGAAGCUGCAACAGCACCUGCAGCAACCACCACCGGAAUCCGGCAUGGUUUUCCGGUGGAUCCCUUAAAAGAUUCUAAUCAGAGAAAGCGAAGAAGAUCAAGCGUAUGCAGGAUUAGAAUUUAGAUUGGUUGCUGAGACCUAAGCUGUUUCCCUGCUCCGUUCCCUUUUAUAAAAGAAAGAAGACGACGACGACGACGAAGACUACUCGAGUGUCCUUGGUUUUGUAUCUUCAUUUUCAUGCUUUUGUGGGUAAGGAUAAAGCUACAGGUGGUUGUGCCUCGGCUUUCCAUUCUGGCCAAUGGUAAUUUACUUUGGUGAGGAAAUGCAGCUGUUUGACUACACAGACCAAUGACGUAAGGGUGUAGACCAGGGCAACAAGUACCCAUUGCCUCCUGGAAUUUGGAACUCCCAAUGAGCGUUGCCAAAGGGCUCUAGGUCAAGCCUGAUCUUUACGAAUAGAUCAGAGCCCUGCUUAGAAGCUAUAGCUUAACCUCCCCUGAGCCAGACGACAUGUGGGCCAAAUCCAAAAGAAAAGCCACGCACCCACCCUUCAAUUUAUUUUGUCGUUUUGUUUACCCUUUCGUUCAAUUUCCAUUUUCCACUUUCCUGGCUGCAACUCAAA
rnacentral:misc_RNA from 1 species